UACGAAGGGGGCUAGCGUUGUUCGGAAUUACUGGGCGUAAAGCGCGCGCAGGCGGUCUUCCAAGUCAGUGGUGAAAGCCCGGAGCUCAACUCCGGAACUGCCAUUGAAACUGUUGGACUUGAGUACGAGAGAGGUGAGUGGAAUUCCCAGUGUAGAGGUGAAAUUCGUAGAUAUUGGGAGGAACACCUGUGGCGAAAGCGGCGCACUGGACCAUAACUGACGCUGAGGCGCGAAAGCUAGGGGAGCAAACAGG
rnacentral:rRNA from 1 species